AAUUCCCUAUUGCAUUAGUGUUAAGCAUAUUAACAUAUAGUAAGGGUGAUGUUUCCUUUUAUAAAAACACAUUGCUGUUUUCCUAAUAUAUGAUUUUUUAAGUAUAUGAAUUGCUAACAUCAAGCCACAGUAAUGCUAUCUGGUAGAAAGUGUUCCACUAGAUUUCUUGUCAGAAGUCUAAAUUGCACAUUGAAUCUUGCAGAGCAUUAUAAAUACCAUUUUUUGUUAUGAACCACAUCCAUGUGGGAAAUACGGAGGAGGCUUUUUCACUCGGCUCACAAACACUUACUGUCAGUUUAUGACUGUUUCUUAAUUUUCUUUAUUCUUUGGGUUGUGAAAGCACUUCUGAGAGCACUGGUGGCCCUGCAGUUGUCUUGACAUAGUGAUAGACAUGUAGUUUUAAUAGGCUUUAUCCUCGAGGUUCAGAGAUUUAGCCUGGUCCCUCAAGACUACGUCUCAGAUCAAUUAGAGUUCAGGAUAGAAAUAAUGUCUCCAGGGCAUGUGAAUUUGGAGUGUCUUUUUUAGCCACAAAUACUAGAGUUUAAACAACACCUACUCCCAAAGCAGGAGGAUCUCCAUAAGGUUAACAGCACAACAAAUUCAGUUGUCUCUAAUUACAUUUAUCAGUAAAAUUGGCAACAUUAACAGGGGUAAAUGGCUUUCAUUUAUAUGUAGUAAUAAGCUGAAACACAGUGUAGUGUAUCGGGGUACCCAGGAGUUCGAUUUUUUGAGCAGAUACUGACCAUAACAAUGAAAAGAUUUAAUCUGAUGGGCGAAGCUGCACUCUCUGUACAGCAGAGUGCUUGUGCAGGACCAGUCAGCGAGUUUAGCCACUCAUGCCAUCUGUUAAGAGGCUGCUCCAAAGUUCAGCUUGGAUUCACAAGCCCCGGGAGUUCUACCAGGCUGCCUGCUGCUCCUGACCGCUGGAUUGUGGUGUGUGUGUGUGUGUGUGUGUGUGUGUGUGUGUGUGUGUGUGUGCGUGUGUGUGUGUGUGUGCGCAUAAGCUUUCUUAAAUCUUCUGAUCCACAUACAGACUCCUGCACAAAUACAUGCAGAGUGCUUUGUGGUUCAGCAGUGCGUGAUGGCACAUCCUGCAAGACAGGCACUGUUUAGUGGGAUUUCUCGUGCAAUAUAAAUCCACAAUCAGCAGUGACAGGCUCACUGAUGCUGCUUGGGCCCACAAGGUGCAGCUGUACCAGGGGAACACUGUGGCAGAGGAGUGAUCCGGAGGCGCAUAAAAGCCGAGGGAGCGGAGGCGUGUGUGCGUGUGUGUGCGCGUGCGUGAGCGCCAGUAGUGCCGUGUGAACACGGAGCGCCCAGACACCAUUGUGACAUACCAAUAUAUUAAAUAAAAAGCGGCGGUGACGCAAAUAAACCGACCUGUUGUGGUUGU